GACGAACGCUGGCGGCGUGCCUAAUACAUGCAAGUAGAACGCACAGUUUAUACCGUAGCUUGCUACACCAUAGACUGUGAGUUGCGAACGGGUGAGUAACGCGUAGGUAACCUGCCUGGUAGCGGGGGAUAACUAUUGGAAACGAUAGCUAAUACCGCAUAAUAUUAAUUAUUGCAUGAUAAUUGAUUGAAAGAUGCAACUGCAUCACUACCAGAUGGACCUGCGUUGUAUUAGCUAGUAGGUGAGGUAACGGCUCACCUAGGCGACGAUACAUAGCCGACCUGAGAGGGUGAUCGGCCACACUGGGACUGAGACACGGCCCAGACUCCUACGGGAGGCAGCAGUAGGGAAUCUUCGGCAAUGGACGAAAGUCUGACCGAGCAACGCCGCGUGAGUGAAGAAGGUUUUCGGAUCGUAAAGCUCUGUUGUAAGAGAAGAACGGGUGUGAGAGGGAAA
rnacentral:rRNA from 1 species